GGGGAAUAUUGCACAAUGGGGGAAACCCUGAUGCAGCAACGCCGCGUGAGUGAUGAAGGCCUUCGGGUUGUAAAGCUCUGUCUUCAGGGACGAUAAUGACGGUACCUAAGGAGGAAGCCACGGCUAACUACGUGCCAGCAGCCGCGGUAAUACGUAGGUGGCAAGCGUUGUCCGGAUUUACUGGGCGCAAAGGGCGCGUAGGCGGUCUAUUAAGUCUGAUGUGAAAGGUACCGGCUCAACCGGGGAAGGGCAUUGGAAACUGGUAGACUUGAGUAUUGGAGAGGCAAGUGGAAUUCCCGGUGUAGCGGUGGAAUGCGUAGAUAUCGGGAGGAACACCAGUGGCGAAGGCGGCCUACUGGGCACCAACUGACGCUGAGGCUCGAAAGUAUGGGUAGCAAAC
rnacentral:rRNA from 1 species